GCCUUCGUAGUUCAAUGGAUAGAACGAGGGAUUCCUAAUCCCUAAAUAUAGGUUCGAUUCCUAUCGGAGGCACCA
rnacentral:tRNA from 1 species